rnacentral:rRNA from 1 species
GAUGAACGCUAGCUACAGGCUUAACACAUGCAAGUCGAGGGGAAACGGCAUUAAGUGCUUGCACUUUUUGGACGUCGACCGGCGCACGGGUGAGUAACGCGUAUCCAACCUUCCCAUGACUAAGGGAUAACCUGCCGAAAGGCAGACUAAUACCUUAUGGUCUUCACUGACGGCAUCAGAUGUGAAGUAAAGAUUUAUCGGUUAUGGAUGGGGAUGCGUCUGAUUAGCUUGUUGGCGGGGUAACGGCCCACCAAGGCAACGAUCAGUAGGGGUUCUGAGAGGAAGGUCCCCCACAUUGGAACUGAGACACGGUCCAAACUCCUACGGGAGGCAGCAGUGAGGAAUAUUGGUCAAUGGGCGAGAGCCUGAACCAGCCAAGUAGCGUGCAGGAUGACGGCCCUAUGGGUUGUAAACUGCUUUUGUAUGGGGAUAAAGUCAGUCACGUGUGAUUGUUUGCAGGUACCAUACGAAUAAGGACCGGCUAAUUCCGUGCCAACAGCCGCGGGAAUACGGAAGGUCCGGGCGUUAUCCGGAUUUAUUGGGUUUAAAGGGGAGCGUAGGCUGGAAAUUAAAUGUGUUGUGAAAUGUAGACGCUCAACGUCUGACUUGCGCUCAUGCUGUGUUUCCUUGAUUACGCACGACGUUGGGUGGAAUUCGUCGUGUUUCGAUGAAAUGCUUUCAUCUGACAAAAAAUUCCGAUUGCAAAAGCGGUUCCACUGAUGGCAAUUGACCUGAAGAUUCAAGGGUUCGGCAUCAAACAAGAAUAAAUUCCCAUUGAGGAUCAAAGGGGAAGUGCCCAGUGGAAAUAUAGCUUAUGAUAGGGGGAACUCGAGGGGGGGGGCGGCCCCACAGGAGGUUCCGAUAGGCGAGAAGAGUACGGAUAAAAAGAGCGGCGGCAAAAAGU